AGAGUAGCUCAGCGGUAGAGCAGAGGACUCAUAAGCCUUUGGUCGGUGGUUCAAAUCCACUCUCUG
rnacentral:tRNA from 1 species